rfam:Gossypium arboreum cultivar AKA8401 contig_7288_9, whole genome shotgun sequence.
UGUUAAAAAUUUCAUGCAUUUAUAUGGUUAAAAACUAGUGUGGUUGAUGAAAUAACCAGACAAUGACGCACUGUGUGUCACAUUUACCUUGUGGUGAUGUGCAUGAUUAAUAUUUAACAAUAGAACUAAAUGAUAUCUUUUAACA